rnacentral:rRNA from 1 species
GAUCAUGGCUCAGGAUGAACGCUAGCGGCAGGCCUAACACAUGCAAGUCGAGGGGUAGAGUUCUUCGGGACUUGAGACCGGCGCACGGGUGCGUAACGCGUAUGCAAUCUACCUUAUACAGGGGAAUAGCCCAGAGAAAUUUGGAUUAAUGCCCCAUAGUGUUAUCGAAUCGCAUGGUUUGAUAACUAAAGUUCCGACGGUAUAAGAUGAGCAUGCGUCCCAUUAGUUAGUUGGUAAGGUAACGGCUUACCAAGACAAUGAUGGGUAGGGGUCCUGAGAGGGAGAUCCCCCACACUGGUACUGAGACACGGACCAGACUCCUACGGGAGGCAGCAGUGAGGAAUAUUGGUCAAUGGGCGCAAGCCUGAACCAGCCAUGCCGCGUGCAGGAAGACGGUCCUAUGGAUUGUAAACUGCUUUUAUACAGGAAGAAACCCUCCCACGUGUGGGAGCUUGACGGUACUGUAGGAAUAAGGAUCGGCUAACUCCGUG